CUGAACGACGAAUCCUUCCCCUUUCGUGUUGUUCUUCGUCGUUUCCACUUCUCCAACUGACGUCUCAUCUUCUUCUCUAUUGCUCCAUUGUAAAGUCAGCCACCAAUCCAUCUCUCUCACUAAGCCCCCUUCUUCACUCCUUCAAUCGUAAGCCAUCGAAGCGUUCUGGCUCCCUUCGUUUGUCACCCUCUCCCUAAACUAAUUAUAUAAACAUAUGGUGAUAUUCAAGAUCGAAAAUACUCCACAUCGUCAUCUCCAGAAGAAGUGUUAAUUUUGUUAAUACUUUUAAUAUUAACCUGUUAAUUUUCUUCCACAGGCAGAUAAACUCCAAAUUGAGGAGACAAUUAUAUAAAGAUGACGAGGAUGAAGAAGAUCAACAAAAGUAGGGCAGAAAGUAGAUCGGAGAAAGAAACAAGGAUAUUCAUCGUUCAUAUCUCCCAUUCCAUCCUCGCUGGCAAUGGAUUCUCCUUGAGUGUGCCCUCAAUGCGCCUCCUCUAACCAGCUCUAUGUCCCAGAGCUCCACCGCAUAGUGCUAAAAGCCAGAUCGACCUUUGUCUCUUUGCCUCUGUUUAUUCUGUCAGGAAAUCCACCUUCACCACAAGAAUCCUCGCCCUAAUCCCCCAACUAUGCGUCAGAAACAUUCACCUCAUCAAGAGUGAACUUUCUACACCAACAUUAAGCUUUUACAUGACCAAAAACAGAGUGAUGAUGCGUUGGAUCAUGACAUGACUUAUAUAGUAUUCAGAGAAGAUUCCAAUUGAUAUCCACCCAUGGAUGUCUCUCUGUCUGCUUAUCAACUUUGCCCUUCACGUGAACUUUGUUAGACCUCCCCUCUACUUAUUCCAAAAUUGAGCUCUUUAUAUAUUAUCUGUUUCUUUUACACUAUGCAAGUGUCUCUGAUACAUCAGUCAUAAUACCUGGAAGUGAUUCAGCCAUUGGAUUUAUAUUGAGUCUAUACUUAAUUCAUUUAUGGUGUAUCAAUACAAAAGUUUGGUUUUUAUGUAACACUGGAAUCUCCGAUCCGAUCGGGACUAGCUUAUAGAUUAUUGUAGCCGGCAUCGGCUCUAUACGCUCCCAUUGUUUUUUUUGUGAAACAGAGAAAGUAAAUAUAAAUUGAAAAUC